UGAAUGAGAUUUUAACACGAAGUGAGUGGCGGACGGGUGAGUAACACGUGGGUAACCUGCCCAGAAGCAGGGGAUAACACCUGGAAACAGAUGCUAAUACCGUAUAACAGAGAAAACCGCCUGGUUUUCUUUUAAAAGAUGGCUCUGCUAUCACUUCUGGAUGGACCCGCGGCGCAUUAGCUAGUUGGUGAGGUAACGGCUCACCAAGGCGAUGAUGCGUAGCCGACCUGAGAGGGUAAUCGGCCACAUUGGGACUGAGACACGGCCCAGACUCCUACGGGAGGCAGCAGUAGGGAAUCUUCCACAAUGGACGCAAGUCUGAUGGAGCAACGCCGCGUGAGUGAAGAAGGGUUUCGGCUCGUAAAGCUCUGUUGUUAAAGAAGAACGUGGGUGAGAGUAACUGUUCACCCAGUGACGGUAUUUAACCAGAAAGCCACGGCUAACUACGUGCCAGCAGCCGCGGUAAUACGUAGGUGGCAAGCGUUAUCCGGAUUUAUUGGGCGUAAAGCGAGCGCAGGCG
rnacentral:rRNA from 1 species